rnacentral:rRNA from 1 species
GGAAGUAAAAGUCGUAACAAGGUUUCCGUAGGUGAACCUGCGGAAGGAUCAUUACUGAUUUAGCGAACCGAGCGUUAGCGAGGUUUUGCGAUCAACUUGUAUUUAAAACCCACUCUUCAAUGUAUAAAAUUUGUAUUAAUGAUAAAUUAAAAGAUCACUUUCAACAACGGAUCUCUUGGCUCUCGCAUCGAUGAAGAACGUAGCGAAGUGCGAUAAGUAAUGUGAAUUGUAGUAUUCCGUGAAUCAUCGAACCUUUGAACGCAUAUUGCACUUUCUGGUAUUCCGGAAAGUAUGCCUGUUUGAGGGUCAGUUAAAUAAAAAUCGGUGUUGUUGCCGCUUUCCGUGGUGACGCGUCGGAAUUGAGUCGUCUUCGGUUAAGUGACUUAAAAUUUUAUAUGAUUUUCGAACGUAUUUAAAUUUAUUUGAACGUUUGAUAUCGAAUGCUUAUUAGGUUCGGUCAUCCUCAUGACUCGCGCCUAUAAUUUUUCAUUAAAUGACCUCAAAUCAGGUAAGAAUACCCGCUGAACUUAAGCAUAUCAAUAAGCGGAGGA